rnacentral:rRNA from 1 species
AUACGUAGGGUGCAAGCGUUAAUCGGAAUUACUGGGCGUAACGCGUGCGCAGGCGGUUUUGUAAGACAGAGGUGAAAUCCCCGGGCUUCACCUGGGAAUUGCCUUUGUGACUGCAAGGCUAGAGUACGGCAGAGGGGGGUGGCAUUCCGCGUGUAGCAGUGAAAUGCGUAGAUAUGCGGAGGAACACCGAUGGCGAAGGUAAUCCCCUGGGCCUGUACUGACGCUCAUGCCCGAAAGCGUGGGGAGCAAACAGGAUUAGAUACCCUGGUAGUCCACGCCCUAAACGAUGUCAACUGGUUGUUGGGUCUUCAUUGACUCAGUAACGAAGCUAACGCGUGAAGUUGACCGCCUGGGGAGUACGGCCGCAAGGUUGAAACUCAAAUGAAUUGACGGGG